GACGAACGCUGGCGGCGUGCGUAACACAUGCAAGUCGAACGGAAAGGCCCUGCUUUUGUGGGGUGCUCGAGUGGCGAACGGGUGAGUAACACGUGAGUAACCUGCCCUUGACUUUGGGAUAACUUCAGGAAACUGGGGCUAAUACCGGAUAGGAGCUCCUGCUGCAUGGUGGGGGUUGGAAAGUUUCGGCGGUUGGGGAUGGACUCGCGGCUUAUCAGCUUGUUGGUGGGGUAGUGGCUUACCAAGGCUUUGACGGGUAGCCGGCCUGAGAGGGUGACCGGCCACAUUGGGACUGGGAUACGGCCCAGACUCCUACGGGAGGCAGCAGUGGGGAAUAUUGCACAAUGGGCGGAAGCCUGAUGCAGCAACGCCGCGUGCGGGAUGACGGCCUUCGGGUUGUAAACCGCUUUCGCCUGUGACGAAGCGUGAGUGACGGUAAUGGGUAAAGAAGCACCGGCUAACUACGUG
rnacentral:rRNA from 1 species